rnacentral:rRNA from 1 species
AGGACGAACGCUGGCGGCGUGCUUAACACAUGCAAGUCGAGCGGAAAGGCCCUUCGGGGUACUCGAGCGGCGAACGGGUGAGUAACACGUGAGUAACCUGCCCCUAGCUCUGGGAUAGCUCCGGGAAACCGGGAUUAAUACCAGAUACGACCACUUUAGACAUCUGUCGUGGUGGAAAGGAUUCCGGCUAGGGAUGGGCUCGCGGCCUAUCAGCUUGUUGGUGGGGUAACGCCUACCAAGGCGACGACGGGUAGCCGGCCUGAGAGGGCGACCGGGCCAACGACUGGGACUGAGACACGGCCCAGACACCUACGGGUGGCAGCAGUCGAGAAUUUUGACAAUGGGGGAAACCCUGAUCGAGCGACGCCGCGUGGAGGAUGAAGGUCUUCGGAUUGUAAACUCCCGUCAUUGGGGAACAAGGUGCAUACGUUAACUGCGUGUGUAUUGAUAGUACCCGAAGAGGAAGAGACGGCUAACUCUGUGCCAGCAGCCGC